rnacentral:rRNA from 1 species
UAUUUUCCACCUGCCCUUUGUACACACCGCCCGUCGCUACUACCGAUUGAAUGGUUAAGCUGAGGUAAUCGGAUUGGUACUGUUUUAGCGGCUAUGUCGCUUGACUGGUAUCGAAAAGAUGACCAAACUUAAUCAUUUAGAGGAAGUAAAAGUCGUAACAAGGUUUCCGUAGGUGAACCUGCGGAAGGAUCAUUACAAGUCCCUAUCUGAAACUUAUCGAGCUCGGCUUCGGCUGGGUUCGGAUUUAA